UACGGAGGGGGCAAGCGUUAUUCGGAAUUAUUGGGCGUAAAGGGCGCGUAGGCGGCUAGAUGUGUCAAAGGUGAAAUCCCUCGGCUCAACUGAGGAACUGCCUUUGAAACUGUCUGGCUUGAGGCCGGGAGAGGGUAGCGGAAUUCCCAGUGUAGCGGUGAAAUGCGUAGAUAUUCGCAAGAACACCAGUGGCGAAGGCGGCUCACUGGCCCGAUACUGACGCUGAGGAGCGAAAGCGUGGGGAGCGAACAGG
rnacentral:rRNA from 1 species